rnacentral:rRNA from 1 species
UGCGUAGGUGGGCAGGUAAGUCAGUGGUGAAAUCUCCGGGCUUAACCCGGAAACUGCCAUUGAUACUAUCUGUCUUGAAUAUCCUGGAGGUGAGCGGAAUAUGUCAUGUAGCGGUGAAAUGCUUAGAUAUGACAUAGAACACCAAUUGCGAAGGCAGCUCACUACGGGAUUAUUGACACUGAGGCACGAAAGCGUGGGGAUCAAACAGGAUUAGAUACCCUGGUAGUCCACGCCCUAAACGAUGGAUACUCGACAUCAGCGAUACACUGUUGGUGUCUGAGCGAAAGCAUUAAGUAUCCCACCUGGGAAGUACGAUCGCAAGAUUGAA